rnacentral:rRNA from 1 species
AGGGAAUCUUCCACAAUGGACGCAAGUCUGAUGGAGCAACGCCGCGUGAGUGAAGAAGGUUUUCGGACCGUAAAGCUCUGUUGUUGGUGAAGAAGGAUGGAGGUAGUAACUGGCCUUUAUUUGACGGUAAUCAACCAGAAAGUCACGGCUAACUACGUGCCAGCAGCCGCGGUAAUACGUAGGUGGCAAGCGUUGUCCGGAUUUAUUGGGCGUAAAGCGAGCGCAGGCGGAAGAAUAAGUCUGAUGUGAAAGCCCUCGGCUUAACCGAGGAAUUGCAUCGGAAACUGUUUUCUUGAGUGCAGAAGAGGAGAGUAGAACUCCAUGUGUAGCGGUGGAAUGCGUAGAUAUAUGGAAGAAUACCAGUGGCGAAGGCGGCUCUCUGGUCUGCAACUGACGCUGAGGCUCGAAAGCAUGGGUAGCGAACAGGAUUAGAUACCCUGGUAGUCCAUGCCGUAAACGAUGAGUGCUAAGUGUUGGGAGGCUUCCGCCUCUCAGUGCUGCAGCUAACGCAUUAAGCACUCCGCCUGGGGGAGUACGACCGCAAGGUUGAAAC